rnacentral:rRNA from 1 species
GACGAACGCUGGCGGCGUGCUUAACACAUGCAAGUCGAACGGAAAGGCCCUGCUUUUGUGGGGUGCUCGAGUGGCGAACGGGUGAGUAACACGUGAGUAACCUGCCCUUGACUUUGGGAUAACUUCAGGAAACUGGGGCUAAUACCGGAUAGGAGCUCCUGCUGCAUGGUGGGGGUUGGAAAGUUUCGGCGGUUGGGGAUGGACUCGCGGCUUAUCAGCUUGUUAGUGGGGUAGUGGCUUACCAAGGCUUUGACGGGUAGCCGGCCUGAGAGGGUGACCGGCCACAUUGGGACUGAGAUACGGCCCAGACUCCUACGGGAGGCAGCAGUGGGGAAUAUUGCACAAUGGGCGGAAGCCUGAUGCAGCAACGCCGCGUGCGGGAUGACGGUCUUCGGGUUGUAAACCGCUUUCGCCUGUGACGAAGCGUGAGUGACGGUAAUGGGUAAAGAAGCACCGGCUAACUACGUG